rnacentral:tRNA from 1 species
UGGAGUAUAGCUCAAUGGUAGAGCACCGGACGUUCGUCCGGAGGUUGUGGGUUCGAAUCCCGCUACCCCCGCCA